rnacentral:lncRNA from 7 species
AAAACUGCGCCCAUGCCUUCGGCAAGAGGGGUCCAAAACGUUAUUUAGUGUGAAUUUAUUUAAAGUCAAUAGGUUUGUGUCAGUUGACAACUGAAGAGGAUCAGACCCAGAAUAGACUCAUAAGAGUAUGAUCGGCUAGGAUACGACAUAUUUCUGUAAGAAGACAUUCAGCAUAAAUUCAGAUUUGCUUUCUGAAGUCCUGGACAGCCUGAAGCACAAAGGAGGGGAAGAGUUCUGCAGUGUUCACAAAUGGAUUGUUGAAAAAGGCACCCUACAACCUUAAGACGAUUCAUCUGCAUUUCAAGACUUUAUUGGAUUUACAGAAGAUAAGGCAUCUUGUAUCACUUCCAUGUACAAAGCAGCACCUAUCUUCUGAGCUGGAUGUAUUUUGAAUAUUUAUGCAGAAACAGCUCUUUUAUGCAUUUUCAAAUGUUCCUGAUCUAGUUUAAUCAAUUAAAACAACAUUAAAUGCAUUUGAAUAUC